rnacentral:rRNA from 1 species
UACGUAGGCAGCAAGCGUUGUUCGGAGUUACUGGGCGUAAAGGGUGUGUAGGCGGUUAUUUAAGUUUGGUGUGAAAUCUCCCGGCUCAACCGGGAGGGUGCGCCGAAUACUGAAUGACUUGGAGUGCGGGAGAGGAAAGUGGAAUUCCUGGUGUAGCGGUGAAUGACGUAGAUAUCAGGAGGAACACCGGUGGUGUAGACGGCUUCUGGACCGUAACUGACGCUGAGACACGAAGCGUGGGUAGCAAACAGG